rnacentral:rRNA from 1 species
AUGGCGGGACCUUAUGCAAGUUCGGGCUGGUCGGACCUCCCCAUCGACCUCCUCAUCCGGAUACUGCAUCUCCUCGAGCUCCCCGAGGCCCUCGCCUUCGGCGCUGUCUGCUCGUCAUGGCGUUCUGCAUCUGUGGCCGCCGGCUGUGUCCCAUAUCGCCAGACGCCCUGGCUCGUGUCCUUGGCGGACGAGCCUCUUCCGGUAGGGGAUCAACAGCUGCGUGUGCGUCGUGGGCUAUGGGAUCCUGCUGCUACCACUGAGCACCGGAGCCUACUGGAUCCUGAUAGAACUUUUCAGGUCAGCUUUCCCGGGGGCCAAGCCGUGGCCUGCUGCGGCGCCUCCCAUGGCUGGUUAAUCAUGGCGAACGAGCUCUCGGAUCUCGUCCUAUAUAACCCCUUCACCGCGGCGUUGAUCCCGCUCCCGCCAAUCACUGGGUUUGCAUCUUGCAUCGAGGGGGUUUAUGAAGACGGAGGGAAAAUCGUGGGCUAUCGUUACAGGUGUUACAUGAUGGAACACGUUCAUGGUGUGCAGUCUCCCGGCGCGUGUUUCUACGACAAGGUUGUGCUGUCCGGUCCUCCGUCCACUUGUCGCGCUGUCGCUCUGGUCAUCCACCUGGACGGCAAGCGCCUCUCUUUCGCAAGGAUAGGAGACAGCUAUUGGCAACAAGUUUCGGUGAUCCAAAGAAGCGGGGACAGCUUUGCCGAUUGUAUCUACCACCGCGGAAGGUUCUAUGCGGUGACAAUGGAAGGAAUAUUGAAGUCAUGGGACUUUGGUGGACCAGACAAACCGAGGAAGAAGACGGUCAUCGCCGAGGAUGACAACGACAUGUUCGACGACCCAGUUAUCACUAGGUAUUUGCUUUCGACACCUUGGGGUCAUCUCCUGCAGGUGCGUGUCUUUCUUGACACGCUCCGUGGAAACAACAUCAGGAUUGAAAUAGACAGGUUGGACCUCAAGAGUCAGACAAGGGUUGCACUGAGCUCAGGGAAGGCUCUGCGGGGACAUGCGGCCUUCGUCGGCCAGAAUAGCCCAGGCAUUUUAUCAACCAAAAAAUUCCCCGAACUAAAACCGGAUUGUAUCUAUUUCACAACUCCACGCCUCAGAAAGCGCCGCCCUUUCGAGAAUCGCCAUAACCAAUGGAGCGGCGUGAAGGUCUAUGACCUGAAAAGACGGACGCUCGAGGCGGCUUUCCCAUCUGGUGGAGGUCAUUACGGAACCAUCUGCCCAUUGGAAGUCUGGUUCACGCCGAGUCUAGUCUGA